GUCGCGGGGAGGGGGGGGAAGUGCCAACUUGGUUCAAGUAAAUUGUAUGGAAAAGAGAAUUUCAGCCUGAAGUAGCAGGAACAGUGAUUUUUUUUUUCCCUUCCAAGCUGUCCCCUUUAAGUGCUUCCAUGGUGCCAGCUGCUGAAUGACAAAUGAAGAGGUUGGGGGGAAGGAAAGGAAAUGGGCUGUAGGAUUUUUUUGGGGAAUUGUAGAGCUAAAAAUAAAAAAAAGGCGUUUUACCAUUUCCUGCAUAAAUGGGUGCUGUUACUUGCCUUCACCUUCUCGGGUUAUGCACCUGUAAUCCUUCAGGGAAGAAUUUAAGGCAAGCAAAAAAAAAAAGCAAACUGCACCCUCUAUUCUCAUUCUGAGUGACUUGGUCUUUUCUGGAAAGAUUAUUUUUGGGCUUCUGAUUUCCUUCUCGUUGACUUCUUUUUUUCCCCCCCCUCUGAACUUAGGAAGAAGUCUCUCCUGUAUUCUUUGUUAUCCCCAAAGCCCUCCCAGAGCUCUGGAUUAAUGUGGCAAUGCCAUCUGUUGCUCAGCCGGUUCGAGUUGUGUGCAGGAAAAGUUCCAUUUUGACAGUGGCUUUCGGGUGGGGGAAGGAAAAAAAAAAAGGGCAGAAAAAAAAAAAAAAAGCCGAGCGAGACAAGCCCAUUUCUGUCUCUUCCUGUAUGUCCUCAGCCCUGCAGUGAUUUGCUCAGAACGAAAUGCAAAAGAAAUGGGUGGCGAUUGUGGUGUGUGUUUUGGUGGCAGGGUUCAAAUGAAUCACUGCCUUCCGCCGAGGCAGUAAUGUUCCUGAAGUUUUCUCUCCGAUCCGUUUUCUAUGGUAGUAGAACUUGUUCCCAUCCGAUUGCUUGUUUGCUUUUCUGCUCGGAUUUGCUGCCUUUUUUUUUUUUCUUUUUUUUUUUUUAAUCGUUGUUUUUCCCAGGCUGCUAAUUGCUUUCGUUACCCUCUGCGAAGAGACUCUAAAAUUGUGGAGCUGGAGGAGGAAAUGACAUUCAGUGGUGUUUUUCUCAGGUGAAAGGCGCUGUAGAUGAUGAUGUAGCAGAAGCGGAUAUAAUUUCUAAUAU